rnacentral:lncRNA from 1 species
GGCCUCUCUAGGCCACCUCCCAGGCAAUCUGUCCGCCUGCGUUUCCCUGUCUCUCCGUGGGCUGGUCACCUGCCUCCGCAGGGCUGCCAACCUCACUCCUGCAGGUUCUGGUUACGGGAAUGGGCUUCUGGGAGUGAGGUCUUCCCAGAGGCCCACCCGCAGCCAGGUGCCCGGGGUGCCGGGCUGGAGCAGGUGCUAGGCUGGGGGCGCUGCCCUGCCUCUGACUUCCUCUUUCCUCCUCCAGGCUUCCCUGGGGCCCUCGACUUUAGGAAUGGGUAUGGGGAGGAAGCUCUUGUGUACCCCAAAGCAGCAGCUCCAGCCCCUGAAGGAAACGGCCAGGCCGGCGCGCUGCAGGGCUCUCCCUGGCCUGUUCUCCAGGCCUGGGGGGCUGGCUUGAAGCUUGGGUACGGGGCCAGAGGAGGAUCCCCAGAGGUCGGGAGCCAGCUGGGGCCCUAUGGACAGCUAAGGUCAGAACUGAGCCCUGGGCCCUUUGGCGGCCCUGAGCAGAAGAGAGGCAGCAAUGGCCAGCUGAGAAAUGGUUACGGAGGUGAGAGGGAGCCACAGAGGUCCACACGCCCCAUGCCCAAAGGGCCACCAUUGUUACCCUCCGGCUGCACUGGGGGAUGCCCGCAGCCCUUGGGAGGGAUAGCAGGCUCUCAGCCACCUGUAGGUGACUGCUGAGUGGCUGACCUCAGAGGCCAGAGGAGGGGGAGGGCUCACGCCCCGGGAGGUGAGGAGGACAAGACCUCCCCAGGGACCUGCCCUCCCUAGUGCCCGCUCUGCCUCUUCCCAGGCCGCUGCCCCCCUGGGAAAUGCUGAGCACUGGGCCGGUGUGUCCUGAGGGUCUCUGCAUGGGAGCCUGGCCUGCAGCCGGAAAGCCACACCCUCGGGCUCAGCCCCUCUUGCUGCCUGGCCUGGGGUUCCCUCCAGGCUAGAAGUAUUAAUAAAGGCCAUAUGCUUCCCCUGCUUGCCUCCUUGUGCCAUCCGGGAGGGUUGCAGACUGGGGUGGAGGCGUGGGCCUGCAGCCACCACCCAGCACCUCCUUCAUUCAUUCCCCAAACAUCACUGUUGCUAUGUGCCAGGGACCACAUUCCAAAUGGGAGAGACCACGAGAACAAAACAGACUCAGUGCCUGCCCUCGGGGAGGGGACAUCACUUGGUCACUGCCCAGAGGGGGGGAGCACAUCCAAGUUAGGGGACUUCUGCAUGGAAAAGAACAGUUCAUUAUUUGUGCUUUAAUUUGUAAUCAGUUUAUUCAACUUAUUAAAGAAAAAUCUCAUUUUCUUUAACCCUUUUCAGUUGUGUUCCAG